rnacentral:rRNA from 1 species
GGGGGAAUUUUGGACAAUGGGGGGCAACCCUGAUCCAGCCAUGCCGCGUGAGUGAAGAAGGCCUUCGGGUUGUAAAGCUCUUUCGGCCGGGAAGAAAUCGCAUCUCCUAAUACGGGGUGUGGAUGACGGUACUGGAAGAAGAAGCACCGGCUAACUACGUGCCAGCAGCCGCGGUAAUACGUAGGGUGCGAGCGUUAAUCGGAAUUACUGGGCGUAAAGCGUGCGCAGGCGGCGCCAUAAGACAGCUGUGAAAUCCCCGGGCUUAACCUGGGAACUGCGGUUGUGACUGUGGUGCUUGAGUGCGGCAGAGGGGGGUGGAAUUCCACGUGUAGCAGUGAAAUGCGUAGAGAUGUGGAGGAACACCGAUGGCGAAGGCAGCCCCCUGGGUCGACACUGACGCUC